UGCGUAGGCGGACUAAUAAGUCAGUGGUGAAAUCUUUCGGCUUAACCGAGAAACUGCCAUUGAAACUGUUAGCCUUGAGUUCGGUUGAGGUAGGCGGAAUGUGUAAUGUAGCGGUGAAAUGCUUAGAUAUUACACAGAACACCAAUUGCGUAGGCAGCUUACUAGACCGAAGCUGACGCUGAGGCACGAAAGCGUGGGUAGCGAACAGGAUUAGAUACCCUGGUAGUC
rnacentral:rRNA from 1 species